CGCCUGGGGAGUACGGUCGCAAGAUUAAAACUCAAAGAAAUUGACGGGGACCCGCACAAGCGGUGGAGCAUGUGGCUUAAUUCGAUGCAACGCGAAGAACCUUACCUGGGCUUGACAUGUAGUCUAGAUUUGUGAAAGCUUAUCGUCACUUCAGGUGGACUAUCACAGGUGCUGCAUGGCUGUCGUCAGCUCGUGUCGUGAGAUGUCAGGUUAAGUCCUAUAACGAGCGCAACCCCUAUGAACUGUUGCCAGCGAGUAAUUCGGGGACUCUGUUCAGACUGCCCAGAUUAACUGGGAGGAAGGAGGGGAUGACGUCAAGUCAGUAUGGCCCUUACGCCCAGGGCUGCACACGUGCUACAAUGUCCAGUACAAUAUGAACCGAUACCGCGAGGUGGAGGAAAUCUCAAAAACUGGGCUCAGUUCGGAUUGUAGGCUGCAACUCGCCUACAUGAAGUUGGAAUCGCUAGUAAUGGUACAUCAGUACGGUACCGUGAAUACGUUCCCGGGUCUUGAACACACCGCCCGUC
rnacentral:rRNA from 1 species